AGCAGUAUGGUGUAAUGCUGCACUCAAGAAUUUCAUAAUGGUCAUGCAACAUGUAUUCCCGAGGUCCUUGUUCGAAUCAAGGUACUGCUC